UCAAUAAUUAUCUCUAUGUACCUACGUAGCCUUGGAUUUUUUGGUUCAGAUGCAUUGUGGAGCACUUUUUUAUGCACUGUUAGAAUAAUUAUUUGCGCACAAUUCUUCUAUGCUUAGUUGUAUGGGUUUUAUCUGAUUUUUGGUUGCAGCCUUGGAUGAAUAGGUGGUUUGCAUGAAAUGAAAAGCUAUCAACGCAACUGGUGGUAAGUCCACCGCAUGAUGCAAUCCACGGCCGCGGUGCUGGUAUGAAGUAGCGGUGAUGGUUGGUGGCGUGUAGUUCACGGCAGCGGCGCUAGUGCGAAUCAGGGGUGGUGGUCGAUUGGAUGGAAGAUAGCACAGGAGCAGCGCGACACGGCCAAGGAUUUUUGCAUUUUAUUUGUUGAAUUUGGUGUUCUUAUGCUUGUGUGCAUAAGUUUGUAUACACACAAUGGAGCACUUCUAUGCAUUUUUGUAUUCUUAAUGCUUGUGAGCAUAAGUUUCUAUACAUUGUUGGAGCAGGUCUAUGUUGUUUUUAUGUGACAACAAAUUCACUUUUUAUUCAUCAAAUUACUAAAUUCUAUGUAAUGCCGGCACGAAAAAUAUUUAAGUGUA